rnacentral:rRNA from 1 species
ACCCGCUGAAUUUAAGCAUAUAACUAAGCGGAGGAAAAGAAACUAACAAGGAUUCCCCUAGUAAGGGCGACUGAAGCGGGAUCAGCCCAGAUUGUAAACUGACCUUAAUCAAGGUUGGGUUGUAGUCUAAAGAGGCGACGCCAGGCAAGGUCCGGGGAGAAGUCCCUUGGAACAGGGCAUCGGAGAGGGUGACAAUCCCGUCUGUGCCUCGGACCGCGUCGUACGGUGCGUCUUCGACGAGUCGGUUUGCUUGGGAUUGCAGACCAAACGGGUGGUAAAUUCCAUCUAAGGCUAAAUACGGGUGGGAGACCGAUAGCGAACAAGUACCGUGAGGGAAAGAUGCAAAGAACUUUGAAAAGAGAGUUAAAAAGGGCCUGAAACUGGUAAGAGGGAACCGAACGGCAGAAGUGGUGAUGGGCGCGUAUUUUCCGCCGGGCUCUUGGCCGGCGUACUUGUGCGCGUCCGUAGGUCAGCGUGGGUUGGGGCGUGGGAGUCGUUCAUGGGAAGGUCUUCGGGCCAAUCUCGUGUUCAGGCCGCGCCUGAGACCUUCGGUGACGAAAUUCUUCCGUUCACCCCGUCUUGAAACACGGACCAAGGAGUCUAAAAUACGAGCGAGUGCGCCGGUGGCAACCCGGGGCGCGUAAUGAAAGUGAGACCGACGGUGGGAGGGCUUUACGUCCGCACCAUCAACCGACCACGAUCCUUCGGGUGAAAGGUUUGAGUGUAGCUUGUAUUUUGGGACCCGAAAGAUGGUGAGCUAUGCCUGAAUAGGGCGAAGCCAGGGGAAACUCUGGUGGAGGCUCGUAGCGAUUCUGACGUGCAAAUCGAUCGUCAAAUUUGGGUAUAGGGGCGAAAGACUAAUCGAACCAUCUAGUAGCUGGUUCCCUCCGAAAUUUCCCUCAGGAUAGCAGCAAUCGAAGAGUUUUAUCAGGUAAAGCGAAUGAUUAGAGGCCUCAGGGGUGGAACGUCCUUGACCUAUUCUCAAACUUUAAAUGGGUAAGAGCCAGGGGUUGCUUAAGUGAACCCCUCGGUCGAAUCGCGGUUGCUAGUGGGCCACCCGGGGUAAGCUCGGUUGGCGAUGCGGGAUGAUCCGAACGUCGAGUUAAAGUGCCUCACUGCCCGCUCACCUAGAUCCCACAAAAGGUGUUGGUUCAUUUAGACAGCAGGACGGUGGCCAUGGAAGUCGGAACCCGCUAAGGAGUGUGUAACAACUCACCUGCCGAAUGGAUUAGCCCUGAAAAUGGAUGGCGCUGAAGCGAGCGACUUAUACUCGACCAUCACGGCAAGUGCGACGCCGUGAUGAGUAGGAGGGCGUGGGGCUCGUGGCGCAUCCCGCGGCGUGAGCCGGGGUGAAACGGGCUCUAGUGCAGAUCUUGGUGGUAGUAGC